ACAAGUGUGAGCAUAGGACCAGCAUCUGUGGAGGAACUCCAGGCCUGAAGGGGGCAGAGAGAGCUCACCCAGACACCCAACAGACAGGAUGCAACCCAUGUUUCUGGAGGGACCGAUUUCACCUGCGCACCUCUAAUCAAGCAUGAGUAUAAAAUGUUUGGAGUUAGCUCCGCGAGCCCUCUUUGCUCGGUCUCCUCAGCCUACUGACAGCUCAUGUUCAACCACAGACGCAACUGGUUAUCAACCUAUUCUUCCUCUGGAAUUUCACUUUGUGCCAUCAAUCUAAAAGAAAAUAAAUCACCAGAACGGAA